rnacentral:rRNA from 1 species
AUUGAGCGCUGGCGGCAUGCUUUACACAUGCAAGUCGAACGGCAGCGCGGGCUUCGGCCUGGCGGCGAGUGGCGAGCGGGUGAGUAAUACAUCGGAACGUGCCCAGUAGUGGGGGAUAGCUCGGCGAAAGCCGGAUUAAUACCGCAUACGACCUGAGGGUGAAAGCGGGGGAUCUUCGGACCUCGCGCUAUUGGAGCGGCCGAUGGCAGAUUAGCUAGUUGGUGGGGUAAAGGCCUACCAAGGCGACGAUCUGUAGCUGGUCUGAGAGGACGACCAGCCACACUGGGACUGAGACACGGCCCAGACUCCUACGGGAGGCAGCAGUGGGGAAUUUUGGACAAUGGGCGAAAGCCUGAUCCAGCAAUGCCGCGUGUGUGAUGAAGGCCUUCGGGUUGUAAAGCACUUUUGGCGGGAACGAAAAGGACUGUGCCAAUACCACGGUUCGAUGACGGUACCCGCAGAAUAAGCACCGGCUAACUACGUG